rnacentral:rRNA from 1 species
UACGGGGGGGGCAAGCGUUGUUCGGAAUUACUGGGCGUAAAGGGCUCGUAGGCGGCCAACUAAGUCAUACGUGAAAUCCCUCGGCUUAACCGGGGAACUGCGUCCGAUACUGGAUGGCUUGAGUUCGGGAGAGGGAUGCGGAAUUCCAGGUGUAGCGGUGAAAUGCGUAGAUAUCUGGAGGAACACCGGUGGCGAAGGCGGCAUCCUGGACCGAUACUGACGCUGAGGAGCGAAAGCCAGGGGAGCAAACGGG